UUUUUUCUGUGCAGCUCCAUUUUCAAAAGCUAUUUGGGGUUCUUAUUUUUUAUGAUUGACACUUGAUACAGCGUAUGGGCGUGCGAAGGUUGCGUAGCGAUACGCUGUUUGAGCCGAGCAUUAUCACAGCGACUCACCCGCCGAAUGCGUACAAUGCCACUGCGCAAGUGGUGGUUCUAGGAAGCGGAGGAAUACCAGAGCAAUUCGGCUUCAAAUUUGUAUGAUGAUGGAAGGUUACCUACCUGGUAGCUAGACAGUAUUGACUUAGUAGUUAUCAUGUAAUUACCAGAUAA